rnacentral:hammerhead_ribozyme from 1 species
AUUCAGCUGAUGAGUCCCAAAUAGGACGAAACACGUGUUUUUAAU